rnacentral:rRNA from 1 species
AACAGGAUUAGAUACCCUGGUAGUCCACGCUGUAAACGAUGUCGAUUUGGAGGUUGUGCCCUUGAGGCGUGGCUUCCGGAGCUAACGCGUUAAACCGACCGCCUGGGGAGUACGGCCGCAAGGUUAAAACUCAAAUGAAUUGACGGGGGCCCGCACAAGCGGUGGAGCAUGUGGUUUAAUUCGAUGCAACGCGAAGAACCUUACCUACUCUUGACAUCCAGAGAACUUUCCAGAGAUGGAUUGGUGCCUUCGGGAACUCUGAGACAGGUGCUGCAUGGCUGUCGUCAGCUCGUGUUGUGAAAUGUUGGGUUAAGUCCCGCAACGAGCGCAACCCUUAUCCUUUGUUGCCAGCGGUUCGGCCGGGAACUCAAAGGAGACUGCCAGUGAUAAACUGGAGGAAGGUGGGGAUGACGUCAAGUCAUCAUGGCCCUUACGAGUAGGGCUACACACGUGCUACAAUGGCGUAUACAAAGAGAAGCGACCUCGCGAGAGCAAGCGGACCUCAUAAAGUACGUCGUAGUCCGGAUUGGAGUCUGCAACUCGACUCCAUGAAGUCGGAAUCGCUAGUAAUCGUAGAUCAGAAUGCUACGGUGAAUACGUUCCCGGGCCUUGUACACACCGCCCGUCACACCAUGGGAGUGGGUUGCAAAAGAAGUAGGUAGCUUAACCUUCGGGAGGGCGCUUACCACUUUGUGAUUCAUGACUGGGGUGAAGUCGUAACAAGGUAACCGUAGGGGAACCUGCGGCUGGAUCACCUCCUU